GAUGAACGCUGGCGGCGUGCCUAAUACAUGCAAGUCGAGCGAACAGAUGAGGAGCUUGCUCCUCUGACGUUAGCGGCGGACGGGUGAGUAACACGUGGAUAACCUACCUAUAAGACUGGGAUAACUUCGGGAAACCGUGGCUAAUACCGGAUAAUAUAUUGAACCGCAUGGUUCAAUAGUGAGAGAAGGUUUUUCUUUCGCUUAUAGAUGAAUCCGCGCCGCAUUAGCUAGUUGGUAAGGUAACGGCUUACCAAGGCGACGAUGCGUAGCCGACCCGAGAGGGAGAUCGGCCACACGGGAACUGAGACACGGUCGAGACACCGAGGGUAGGCAGCAGUAGGGAAUCUUACGCAAGGGGCGAGAGCGGGACGGAGGAACGCCGCGUGAGUGAUGAAGGUGCUCGGAUCGGAAAACUCUGUUAGCAGGGGAGAAGUAAAGUGUAAGUAACUAUGCAGAUCUUGACGGUACCGAAACAGAAAGCCACGGCUAACUACGUG
rnacentral:rRNA from 1 species